UUUUUUUUUUUUGGCCAGCCGGGCUGUGGGGGUAAUAUAUUCUGGGUUGUUUAAUUUUUUUAGUUGUUUUUAGAAUUCAUAACCGCAUUUUGAUCUUCACUGCGAUUAUUGUAUUGUACUAACAACUUGCAUACCUAGCUUCCUUUUUCUUAUAUAGCAUUGAAUUAUUGCGGUCUUGUAUUGCCUAGUGUUGACUUAAUCAAAUGGCACUAUGACAGUGACCCAACAUGACAAUCAUUCACAUAUCGGUUAAAGAAGGUUGGCACAAGAAUUUCCAUGGGAAUUUUUUGUGUGUCUUACUUGAGAUGACGGCUGGAGUUUGAUUGAUUCAACUGAAUAUGAGCUGGCGAAAGUAAAAUACAGCUGAAGGAAAACUUAUCCUGCUCACCAAGCUGCUCUUUAAAAUGUGGUCUUUGGCAAAGUCUUCACUUCGUUUCUCUCUACAUUUUCUUCUAAAAAUCAUUGAUCAUGCAAUUAUAUAGUAGUUUUUUGUAGGUUUCUAGUGGUCCAGGUUUAUGCUGAAAACUUUCUUUGUAAGGAAAAUAUCUAUUCGGCGCGAUUCCCGAUGCUUCCAGUGCUUAAUUGACCAGCUUAAAAAACAGAAGAAAAAAAGUGUGACCUUGAGUGAAAAGGACAGAUGAAUCAGCAUCCUGGCCGUCGAUCAAAUGGACGGCUGUGAUCAUCACCAUCCUAGUUGACUUUGCUAAAUUUUAUUCUGGUAGUGCUCCGCCUCUCACUCUCGGCCUGAAUAUUAUACUCCCGCCAAUUACUUCCUGCACAAGUGAAGGUCCCAACGAGAGAGACUAACAAUGUCGCAUAUGCUCUGGCCCAUCCCUGUAUAAAGUCGCCGCGAGAUCCAGCAGAAACCUUUUCCUGCUCCGGCCGCCAUUGCCGCGACCUUGCUCACCCUGCGCAAGCUUCUGCAUGUGCUUGCAUGGUGAAACUCUUCUCCACCUUGUCCAUCUCUUGAUGUUCAUCCCAAUCUAGAGUUCUAGACUAGAGCUCCUUGAUUCCAUUGCACCACCAAGGUUCUUGGGUUCUUUGUUUGUCCAUGGAGGGGGUGGAGGAGGCCAACCGGGCGGCCGUGGUGAGCUGCAAGAGGCUGGUCGCCCGCCUCUCGCUGUCCGCCGGCGACCCGUUCCGGCUCGCCGCCGUCGCGGCCGAGACCGAGGAGGCCGUGUCCCGGUUCAGCAAGGUGGUUAACAUCCUCGGCAACAGGGUUGGCCAUGCGAGGGCGAGGGUCGGCCGGAGGAGCUCGCCGGCGGGCGACCCGAUUGCGAGGUGCCUCCUCGAGUACCACCCUCCCCCGCCGGUGCCGUAUUGCCCACCUGCCAGUGCCCCCCAACUCCAUGGGAGUAGCAGUAGCACUCCUGCGCCGCCGCCGACGCCGCUGAAGCAGAUGCCGGUGCCGGUGGCGGCGGAGGCGGCUCCUUGUGCCGCCGGCAACGGCAAGGUCGUUGCACCGGCGGCCAAGGGUGCUGCGGACAGGGACAUGUUCUUCCAGACGCCGCUCCUGGAUUUGAGUGCGUGCAGCAGCGUUACUCCCGCCUCCAUUGCCGCCGCGCAGAUCAACGGCUCGAGAGUUUCCGCAGCUCCGGCGGCCAAGGGUGCAGACAGAGACAUGUUCUUCCAGACGCCGCUCCUGGAUUUGAGCGGGUGUAGCGUUACUCCCGCCUCCAUUGCCGCCGUGCAGAUCAACGGCUCGAGAGUUUCGGCAGCUCCGGCGGCCAAUCCUCCUCCUCCCCCUCCCCCUCCCCCUCCUCCUCAAAUCCAAUUCCACCAUCCGAUUCAGCAGCAGCAGCAGCAGCAGCAGCAGAAGAGGAUGCUCGAGCAGCAGCAGAAGCCGGCCAGCAGCGACAACAAGAGGUUCCACUUCGAGCCGAAGCCGGCGAGCGAGAAGCCGUUCCACAUCGAGAUCCCGGCGGCGAGGAGCGGCAAGGAGCCGGAGGUGAUCACCUUCAGCUUCGACAACUCGGUGUGCACCUCGUCGGCGGCCACCUCCUUCUUCACCAACAUGAGCAGCCAGCUGAUCAGCAUGUCGGAGACCUCCGCCUGCGCGCCGGCGUCCAGGAAGGCGGCGCACAAAGCCGACGACGACGGCAAAUGCCACUGCCCCAAGAAAAAGUCGGUGCCGAUUGCAUUCGCCAUUGAUUUAUUUAACUCGAUCUGUCGAUUGCGUGUGCCUUUACUUACAGUCGUGUGAUGUGUUGGUUUGCAGGAAGCCGAGGGAGAAGAGGGUGGUGAGGAUGCCGGCGGUGAGCGACAAGGUGGCCGAUAUACCUUCCGACAGCUACUCGUGGAGGAAGUACGGGCAGAAACCCAUCAAAGGCUCUCCACACCCAAGGUAUAUUAUGCUCCAAUCUUGGUUAAUUACUCUAUCUCUCUCUCUCUCAAGUUCAUUGUUAUGUAAUGUCACCAAAAUAUUAUCCUUGAAUGGAAGAAACUUGGAAAUGUCAGUAAGAAGUUGUGGGCAUGCAUCGUAGCCGUGUCGAUCUCAGCAUUCAUUGGGCGUGCAAGCAUGCAUUUGGUGCUGAGUGAGACAUUACAAUUGGAUCAUGUGGUAAUUAAUUCAGGCGGGUAUGAAGUAUGAACUUGUUGUUGAUUAAUUGCAGGGGAUACUACCGGUGCAGCAGCAUCAAGGACUGCCCGGCGAGGAAGCACGUGGAGCGGUGUCGCGGCGACGCCGGGAUGCUCAUCGUCACCUACGAGAACGACCACAACCACGCGCAGCCGCUCGACCUCGCCACGCUCACCGCCAACUCCGAAGCCUGCCGAGACCGCCGGUACCAGAAGAACUCUGAAUUUUUAUGCCAUGGAUGGAACAUGCCAUUCAGCCUGACCAAAUCUGAAUGCAAGUGAAAAUUGUAUGAGGAAGGCGAAGAUUUCGCCUGCGUCUUUCGCAAUGUAUAGUGAGCACUUGAUUGUCCUUUUGAAUUGUAUCCUAUCGAAAAAUCGCUCCGUGCAAAUGCUUGUUAAAUUUCCUUGUAGAACUAGUGCUAGCUUUGCUUGUUUUGUUUUCAGUGUAGCUUUGCUUGUUUAACCACGGUGCAGAAAUCACAAUUCAUGGUAUUGUCCAGCUUGUCACAUACGUAUGACCGUGCCUAAUGUUCUAGUAGACGUGCUGCUGUAUGAGCAACUCUAUCAAUCAAGACACCAAAGCUUGCAUUACAAUUACAGAAAGCCGGAAGCUAAAAACCUCAUCUGAGAAGUACUCCCUCUAGUGAUCUAAACGCUCUUAUAUUUCAUUACGGAGAGAGUACCUAACUAUGGUCGCAAAUCACAUGCUCAAAGCUUUUUUGAGCUUGACACAUGACAUGUCAUCUUUCCUAAUGUCAGAAACUAAAGGUUGCACAUAUUAUCAUCGCAGAAACUAAAAGCUCAUCUGAAGAGCUAUUCAGAAUUUCAGAUGCAGCUAUUCGACGAACUAACGUGAUGUUAAGCGUAUCUUAUGGACUUUAAUUGUGCGCAUCAACGACAACGCACGCACGCACGCUCGAGAGAUCAAGCCAAUAUAUGGGAUGAUUGCUUCAGAUAUAUUCCAAAAACUGUCAUGAACCAACCAGCUAGAUAGAUCAUCAUGAUUUAUAUAGAUGUCCAGAGGGCUCAUCCCAAAUCCAGUCCAGUGGGAUGGCGAUCUACCUGUUAAGCUGCUGCUUAAGCUAAGCCUAAGCCUAAGCCAACUGUAAACCACCCCAACAAGUAGCUGCAAAACAUUGACCAAGAUCUAGUUUAAUCCACGCCUGGUGUCUCUCGCCCUCUGCAGCUGAAGCAUGCGGGUGCUAAUCUAAUCUGGAACCACAUGAGGCGGAAUCAAGAGAAUCAUGGUGGCAUUAAUUGCGAGCCACCCCCACGAUUAGCGGCGCCAAGCAUGUGCCGCAACUGUCUGUCUGUCAGGGGAGGAGCUGGCCAACGGUUAUGUCCACCUGGCUUGGCCUAUUAUUAUUAUUACAAGAGUUAUUACUACUAAUUGAGGCACUGGAUUAUUUGGGGAGUGGCAUGCGUGCUCAUCAGAUAUCUUGAACUUAGUCUCCUAGCUAGGAUGAGGAAAAAUGAAUGUGGCUGAUAUCUCUAUCCGGAAUUGAGAUCAUAUCUGAAACUCCUCCAGGUAGGACGUUCAGACUGGAGCGGAACUCGUGGAAGACAAUCGUAGGCAGGCCCUUGGUGAAGAUGUCGGCAUACUGUGAACCCAAUGGCACAUGGAGCACACGCGCCUCACCCAAAGCAACUCGGUCGCGUACAAAGUGGAUAUCAAUCUCGACAUGUUUAGUCCGUUGAUGCUGAACCGGGUUGGAGGAGAGGUAGGUAGCGCUGAUAUUGUCACAGUAGACGAUGGUGGCGCGAGUGGGAGGGCAGUGGAGCUCCAUGAGAAGCUAGCGGAGCCAGGUGGACUCGGCGACACAGUUGGCGACAGCUCUGUACUCGGCCUCGGCGCUAGAUCGAGAGACAGUUGGUUGGCGUUUGGAUGACCAGGAGAUAAGAUUGUUCCUGAGAAAGACGCAGAAUCCGGAUGUGGACUUCCGCGUGCCAGAGCACCCGGUCCAAUCGGCGUUAGAGUAUGCUACAAGGUCAUGAGCCGUGGACUUGUACCGUUGGAGCCCAUAGUGAGAAGUGCCCUGAAGAUACUGGAGUAUGCGUUUGACAAGUUGGAGAUGGGCUGUGCACGGGUCAUGCAUGAAGAGACACGCCUGUUGGAUGGCGUAUGAAAUAUCCGGCCGAGUGAUGGUAAGAUAUUGGAGUGCACCAGCAAGACUCCUGUACAGGGUCGGAUCAGGAACAGGAUCACCGUGAUGAGAGGAGAUUUUGGACUUGGUGUCGACAGGUGUGGGAAUGGGGUUGCAGUUUAACAUGUGUGCGCGCUCGAGAAUCUCCGAGAUGUAUUGCUGUUGAGAAAGGAACAAGCCCGAAGGGGAGCGGGUGACAUUGACGCCAAGAAAGUGGUGAAUAUCACCGAGAUCGGUCAUGGCAAACUCGUCUUUGAGAGAAGAGAUGAUGGUGUGGAGGGUGGUGGUGGAGUUGGUGGUGAGAAUGAUAUCGUCGACAUAAACUAAGAGGUAUGCGAGGGAGGAGCCAUGCCGAAAAAUGAAUAAGGAAGUGUCACAACGCGCGGACACAAACCCAAGUGAGAGGAGAAAUGACUUGAAUCGUAAGAACCAAGUGCGAGGGGCUUGUUUUAGGCGGUAGAGGGAUUUCUUGAGGAGACACACAUGAGACAGGUUAGAGGAAUCGAUGAAACCCGCCGGUUGAGUGCAAUAGACAGUCUCACCAAUAUCACCAUGAAGGAAGGCGUUUUUUACAUCAAGUUGAUGAAUGGUCCAAGAGCGAGAAGUGGCGAGGCUGAGCACCACACGAACAGUCGCCGGUUUGACAACGGGACUGAAAGUCUCCGUGUAGUCCACACCUUCCUGUUGAGUAAAGCCCGAAGGACCCAACGUGCCUUGUACCGAGCGAGAGAGCCGUCGGUAUUGAGUUUGUGACGAAAGAUCCACUUGCCGGUCACCACAUUAACACAUGCAGGUCUAGGAACCAAACACCAAGUUUCAUUCUUUAACAAAGCAUUAAAUUCAUCAAGCAUUGCCGCCUGCCAAUGGGGAUCCUUAAGAGCGGAUUUAUAAGAGGAGGGCAGAGGGGAAAUAGGAGUGGAUGUCGUGACAGUGAACAAACGACGUGGUUGAGCGACGCCGGAUUUAGCACGCGUUCGCAUUUUGUGAGAAUUAACCGGGGGUGCAACCGGAAUGACGGGCCGACGUGGCGGAGAGGGAGUGGCAGGUGCGGAAUGCGAGGAGGAUUCGGUGGGGACCGAUUCAGAGGCGGCAGGCGAUCCAGAGGCAAGAUCUGUGCCCGAUCCGAGGCGUGCAGGGGAGUCGAGGGAGAUACGCGGGGCCCCAGCGGGGGAGGCCGACGCGGGCGGCUGGUUGGGUGACGCGUGGGAGGCGGCAGGGGAUGGGUCCACGUUGGUCGGGGAAGUGGUGGGNNNNNNNNNNNNNNNNNNNNNNNNNNNNNNNNNNNNNNNNNNNNNNNNNNNNNNNNNNNNNNNNNNNNNNNNNNNNNNNNNNNNNNNNNNNNNNNNNNNNNNNNNNNNNNNNNNNNNNNNNNNNNNNNNNNNNNNNNNNNNNNNNNNNNNNNNNNNNNNNNNNNNNNNNNNNNNNNNNNNNNNNNNNNNNNNNNNNNNNNNNNNNNNNNNNNNNNNNNNNNNNNNNNNNNNNNNNNNNNNNNNNNNNNNNNNNNNNNNNNNNNNNNNNNNNNNNNNNCGUGGGGGGCUGGUUGGGGGCGAGUCAUACGAGGUAGGUGCGCCUGGGGAGGGGGGGUUCCGAGGUAGGUGGGACGGCGAUCCCGAGGGGGGUCGUGGGCAGGGGAGGCGCAGAGGACGGAUCGGGUGUGGCGGGCGGAUCUGUGGGCGUGGGUGUGUAUGGUGUAUACAGAAAAAUAUUUUCAUCAAAAAUUACAUGACGGGACACGAUGACACGCCGCGUUUGAAGGUCAAAGCACCUAUAACCUUUGUGUUCCAAAGGAUAUCCAAGGAAGACACACCGGGUGGAUCGAGGGGCGAGUUUGUGCGGGCUAGUGGCAUAUAGAUUAGGAAAACAUAAGCAUCCGAAAACGCGUAGAUGAUCAUAGCGUGGGAGGACACCGGUGAGGAGAAAGUAGGGGGUGUGAGGUGUGGUUUUGGUAGACGGGCGCCGGUUGAUGAGGUGAGUGGCGGUGUGGAGAGCUUCAACCCAAAACGGGGAGGGGUAGAUUGGCUUGGAAGAGUAGGGUGCGGAGCACGUCAUUGGUGGUACGGAUCAUGUGUUCAGCCUUGCCGUUUUGAGGGGAGGUGUGAGGGCAAGAGAGGCGAAAAGUGACACCAUGGUUUGAAAAGAAGGUACGGAGAGAGAGGUUGAUGAAUUCACCGCCAUUAUCGCUUUGCAUGCACUUGAUGAUCGUGUUAAACUGCGUGAGAAUAUAAAGAAAGAAACGCUGGAGGGUGGGAGAGGUGUUCGAUUUCUCACGUAAUGGAAAAGACCAUGAGUAGUGGGAAUAAUCAUCAAGUACAAUGAGAUAAUAUUUGUAGCCCGAAAAGCUUACAACUGGAGAGGUCCAGAGAUCACAAUGUAUAAGUUGGAAAGGUGUUGUAGUAAAAUUAUUCGAAGAGAGAAAAGCUAAGCAAGGUUGACGACCGAGCUGGCAUGCAGUACAUGUAGAGCUAGGUGGUUUAUUACAAUCGGGAAGAAAUGUCUCGGAGAUAGCAUCUAGGGAGGCCUUGCCCGGAUGGCCGAGGCGGUGGUGAUGGAGAAGGCAGAGCCGCCGGGUCGGGUCUUACCGUAGAAGGGAUACAUGGGGCCGGGGCUACUGGACGUCAUGAUGAGUCGCCGGUUGAUACGUCUCCAACGUAUCUAUAAUUUUUUAUUGUUCCAUACUAUAUUAUAUUCUGUUUUGGACAUUAUCGGGCUUUAUUAUACACUUUUAUAUUAUUUUUGGGACUAACCUAUUAACCGGAGGCCCAGCCCAGAAUUGCUGUUUUUUGCCUAUUUCAGAGUUUCGCAGAAAAAGAAUAUCAAACGGAGUCCAAACGGAAUGAAACCUUCGGGAACGUGAUUUUCGGAACGAACGUGAUCCAGAGGACUUGGACCCUACGUCAAGACAUCAACCAGGAAGGAACGAGGUAGGGGGGCGCGCCUACCCCCCUGGGCGUGCCCUCCACCCUCGUGGGCCCCACGUUGCUCCACCGACGUACUUCUUCCUCCUAUAUAUACCUACGUACCCCCAAACUACCAGAUACGGAGCCAAAAACCUAAUUCCACCGCCGCAACCUUCUGUACCCGUGAGAUCCCAUCUUGGGGCCAUUUCUGGAGCUCCGUCGGAGGGGGCAUCGAUCACGGAGGGCUUCUACAUCAACAUCAUAGCCUCUCCGAUGAUGUGUGAGUAGUUUACCUCAGACCUUCGGGUCCAUAGUUAUUAGCUAGAUGGCUUCUUCUCUCUUUUUGGAUCUCAAUACAAUGUUCUCCCCCUCUCUCGUGGAGAUCUAUUCGAUGUAAUCUUCUUUUGCGGUGUGUUUGUUGAGACCGAUGAAUUGUGGGUUUAUGAUCAAGUUUAUCUAUGAACAAUAUUUGAAUCUUCUCUGAAUUCUUUUAUGUAUGAUUGGUUAUCUUUGCAAGUCUCUUCGAAUUAUCAGUUUGGUUUGGCCUACUAGAUUGAUCUUUCUUGCAAUAGGAGAAGUGCUUAGCUUUGGGUUUAAUCUUGCGGUGUCCUUUCCCAGUGACAGUAGGGGCAGCAAGGCACGUAUUGUAUUGUUUCCAUCAAGGAUAACAAGAUGGGGUUUAUAUCAUAUUGCAUGAGUUUAUCCCUCUACAUCAUGUCAUCUUACUUAAAGCGUUACUCUGUUCUUAUGAACUUAAUACUCUAGAUGCAUGCUGGAUAGCGGUCGAUGUGUGGAGUAAUAGUAGUAGAUGCAGGCAGGAGUCGGUCUACUUGUCUCGGACGUGAUGCCUAUAUACAUGAUCAUACCUAGAUAUUCUCAUAACUAUGCUCAAUUCUGUCAAUUGCUCAACAGUAAUUUGUUCACCCACCGUAAUACUUAUGCUCUCUAGAGAAGCCACUAGUGAAACCUAUGGCCCCCGGGUCUAUCUUCCAUCAUAUUAAUCUUCCAACACUUAGUUAUUUUUAUUGCCUUUUAUUUUACUUUGCAUCUUUAUCAUAAAAAUACCAAAAAUAUUAUCUUAUCAUAUCUAUCAGAUCUCACUCUCGUACGUGACUGUGAAGGGAUUUACAACCCCUUUAUUGCGUUGGUUGCAAGGAUUUAUUUGUUUGUGUAGGUGCGAGGGACUCGUGCGUGGCCUCCUACUGGAUUGAUACCUUGGUUCUCAAAAACUGAGGGAAAUACUUACGCUGCUUUACUGCAUCACCCUUUCCUCUUCAAGGGAAAACCAACACAGUGCUCAAGAGGUAGCAAGAAGGAUUUCUGACACCGUUGCCGGGGAGGCUUAUGCAAAGUCAAGUCAAGAUUUGCUCUCCUGACAACGAGCCAUUUCUGGCGCCAUUGCCGGGGAGUCUACGCAAAAGUCAACAUACCAAGUACCCAUCACAAACCCGUAUCUCCCGCAUUACAUUAUUUGUCAUUUGCCUCUCGUUUUCCUCUCCCCCACUUCACCCUUGCCGUUUUAUUCGCCCUCUCUUUUUCGUUCGCCUCUUUUUCGCUCGCUUCUUGUUUGCUCGUGUGUUGGAUUGCUUGCUUGUCACCAUGGCUCAAGAUAAUACUAAAUUGUGUGACUUCACCAAUACCAACAACAAUGAUUUCCUUAGCACUCCGAUUGCUCCUCUUACCGAUACUAAGUCUUGUGAAAUUAAUGUUGCUUUGUUGAAUCUUGUUAUGAAAGAUCAAUUCGCCGGCCUUCCUAGUGAAGAUGCCGCUACCCAUCUAAAUAGCUUCAUUGAUUUGUGUGAUAUGCAAAAGAAGAAAGAUGUGGACAAUGAUAUUGUUAAAUUGAAACUAUUUCCUUUUUCACUUAGAGAUCGUGCUAAAGCUUGUUUUCGUCUUUGCCUAAAAAUAGUAUUGAUUCAUGGAACAAGUGCAAAGAUGCUUUUAUCUCUAAGUAUUUUCGUCCCGCUAAAAUCAUCUCUCUUAGAAACGACAUCAUGAAUUUUAAGCAACUUGAUCAUGAACAUGUUGCACAAUCUUGGGAGAGGAUGAAAUUAAUGAUACGUAAUUGCCCUACACAUGGUUUGAAUUUGUGGAUGAUUAUACAAAAAUUUAUGCCAGAUUGAAUUUUGCUUCUAGAAAUCUUUUAGAUUCGGCCGCGGGAGGCACUUUAUGGAAAUCACUUUAGGAGAAGCUACUAAACUUCUAGAUAAUAUUAUGGUUAAUUAUUCUCAAUGGCACACUGAAAGAUCUACUAAUAAAAAAAGUGCAUGCGAUAGAAGAAAUUAAUGUUUUAAGUGGAAAGAUGGAUGAACUUAUGAAAUUAUUUGCUAAUAAAAGUGUUUCUUCUGAUCCUAAUGAUAUGCCUUUUUCUACUUUGAUUGAGAAUAAUAAUGAAUCUAUGGAUGUGAAUUUUGUUGGUAGGAAUAAUUUUGGUAACAACGCGUAUAGAGGAAACUUUAAUCCCAGGCUGUACCCUAGUAAUUCAUGUAAUAAUUAUGGUAAUUCCUACAACAAAUCUUAUGGAAAUUUUAAUAAGAUGCCCUCUGAAUUUAAGACUAGUGUUAAGUAGUUUAUGAAUUCGCAAAAGAAUUUCAAUGCUUUGCUUGAAGAAAAAUUGCUUAAAGUUGAUGAAUUGGCUAGGAACGUUGAUAGAAUUUCUCUUGAUGUUGAUUCCUUGAAACUUAGAUCUAUUCCACCUAAGCAUGAUAUCAAUGAGUCUCUCAAAGCCAUGAGAAUUUCCAUUGAUGAGUGCAAAGAAAGAACCGCUAGGAUGCGUGCUAAGAAAGAUUGUUUUGUGAAAGCGUGUUCUUCUAGUUUCCAUGAAAAUAAAGAUGAAGAUCUAAAAGUUAUUGAUGUGUCCCCUAUUAAAUCUUUGUUUUGCAAUAUGAAUCUUGAUAAUGAUGAGACUGAAUAUGAUCUACCUUUACCUAGAAGGCGUUCCAAAAAUUCGGAGUUUUUAGAUCUUGAUGCUAAAAUUGAUAAAAGUGAGAUUGAAGAAGUUAAAACUUUAGAUCUUAAUGAACCCACUAUUUUUGAUUUCAAGGAAUUUAAUUAUGAUAAUUGCUCUUUGAUAGAUUGUAUUUCCUUGUUGCAAUCCGUGCUAAAUUCUCCACAUGCUUAUAGUCAACAUAAAGCUUUUACUAAACAUAUCGUUGAUGCUUUGAUGCAAUCUUAUGAAGAAAAACUUGAGUUGGAAGUUUCUAUCCCUAGAAAACUUUAUGAUGAGUGGGAACCUACUAUUAAAAUUAAAGAUUAUGAAUGCUAUGCUUUGUGUGAUUUGGGUGCUAGUGUUUCCACGAUCCCAAAAACUUUGUGCGAUUUGCUAGGUUUCCGUGAUUUUGAUGAUUGCUCUCUAAACUUACACCUUGCGGAUUCCACCAUUAAGAAACCUAUGGGAAGAAUUAAUGAUGUUCUUAUUGUUGCAAAUAGGAAUUAUGUGCCCGUAGAUUUUAUUGUUCUUGAUAUAGAUUGCAAUCCUUCAUGUCCUAUUAUUCUUGGUAGACCUUUCCCUAGAACGAUUGGUGCAAUUAUUGAUAUGAAGGAAGGAAAUAUUAGAUUCCAAUUUCCGUUAAGGAAAGGCAUGGAACACUUCCCUAGGAAGAAAAUAAAAUUACCUUAUGAAUCUAUUAUGAGAGCCACUUAUGGAUUGCCUACCAAAGAUGGCAAUACCUAGAUCUAUCCUUGCUAUUAUGCCUAGCUAGGGGCGUUAAACGAUAGCGCUUGUUGGGAGGCAACCCAAUUUUAUUUUUAGUUUUUUUUUUGCUUUUUGCUUCUGUUUAGGAAUAAAUAUUUGAUCUAGCCUCUGGUUAGAUGUGUUUUUAUGUUUUAAUUAGUGUUUGUGCCAAGUUAAACCUAUAGGAUCUUCUUGGAUGAUAGUUAUUUGAUCUUGCUGAAAAUUCCAGAAACUUUCUGUUCACGAAAAUAAUUGUUAAAAAUCACCAGAACGUGAUAAAAUAUUGAUUCCAAUUGCUUCUGAUCAAUAAACAAAUUUUAUAGGUCUUCCUAUUUUCGCUGAACUUUUGGAGUUCCAGAAGUUUGCCUUAGUUACAUAUUACUACAGACUGUUCUGUUUUUGACAGAUUCUGUUUUUCGUGUGUUGUUUGCUUAUUUUGAUGAAUCUAUGGCUAGUAAAAUAGUUUAUAAACCAUAGAGAAGUUGUAAUACAGUAGGUUUAACACCAAUAUAAAUAAAUAAUGAGUUCAUUACAGUACCUUGAAGUGGUGUUUUGUUUUCUUUCGCUAACGGAGCUCACGAGAUUUUCUGCUGAGUUUUGUGUUGUGAAGUUUUCAAGUUUUGGGUAAAAGAUUUGAUGGAUUAUGGAAUAAGGAGUGGCAAGAGCCUAAGCUUGGGGAUGCCCAAGGCACCACAAUAUAAUCUAAGGACACCUAAAAGCCAAAGCUUGGGGAUGCCCCGGAAGGCAUCCCCUCUUUCGUCUACUUCCAUCAGUAACUUUAUUUGGAGCUAUAUUUUUAUUCAUCACAUGAUAUGUGUUUUGCUUGGAGCGUCUUGUAUUAUUUGAGUCUUUGCUUUUUAGUUUACCACAAUCAUCCUUGCUGAACACACCUUUUGAGAGAGUCACACUUGAUUCAGAAAUUUUUAGAAUACUCUAUGUGCUUCACUUAUAUCUUUUGAGCUAUAUAGUUUUGCUCUAGUGCUUCACUUAUAUCUUUUAGAGCACGGUGGUGGAUUUGUUUUAUAGAAACUAUUGAUCUCCCAUGCUUGACUUAUAUUAUUUUGAGAGUCUUAAAAUAGCAUGGCAAUUUGCUUUAAUUAUAAUAUCAUGAGAAAUUUGAUGCUCGAUAAUUGUUUUGAGAUAUAAAGGUGGUAAUAUCAUAGUUGUGCUAGUUGAGUAAUUGUGGAAUUGAAAAAUACUUGUGUUGGAGUUUGUGAUUCCCGUAGCAUGCACGUAUGGUGUACCGUUAUGUAACGAAGUCGGAGCAUGAGGUGUUUAUUGAUUGUCAUCCUUUGUGUGGCGGUCGGGAUCGCGCGAUGGUUAACUCCUACCAACCCUUCCCCUAGGAGCAUGCGUAGUAGUACUUUGUUUCGAGGGCUAAUAAAUUUUUGCAAUAAGUAUAUGAGUUCUAUAUGACUAAUGCGAGUCCAUAGAUUAUACGCACACUUACCUUUCCACAAUUUUCUAGCCUCUUCGGUACUGUGCAUUGCCCUUUCUCACCUUGAGAAUUGGUGCAAACUUCGCCGGUGCGUCCAAACCCCGUGAUAUGAUACGCUCUAUCACACAUAAACCUCCUUAUAUCUUCCUCAAAACAGCCACCAUACCUACCUAUUAUGGCAUUUCCAUAGCCAUUCCGAGAUAUAUUGCCAUGCAACUUUCCACCGUUACCAUUUAUCAUGACACGCUCCAUCAUUGUCAUAUUGCUUUGCAUGAUCAUGUAGUUGACAUUGUAUUCGUGGCAAAGCCACCAUUCAUAAUUCUUUCGUACAUGUCGCUCUUGAUUCAUCGCAUAUCCCGGUACACCGUCGGAGGCAUUCCCAUAGAGUCAUAUUUUGUUCUAAGUAUUGAGUUGUAAUUCAUGAGUUGUAAGUAAAUAAAAGUGUGAUGAUCAUCAUUAUUAGAGCAUUGUCCCAAGUGAGGAAAGGAUGAUGGAGACUAUGAUUCCCCCACAAGUCGGGAUGAGACUCCGGACUAAAUAAAAAAAGAGGCCAUAAAAAAAGAGAAAAGGCCAAAAAAAUGAGAGAAAAAGAGAGAAGGGACAAUGUUACUAUCCUUUUACCACACUUGUGCUUCAAAGUAGCACCUUGAUCUUCAUGAUAGAGAGUCUCUCAUUUUGUCACUUUCAUAUACUAGUGGAAAAUUUCAUUAUAGAACUUGGCUUGUAUAUUCCAAUGAUGGGCUUCCUCAAAUGCCCGAGGUCUCCGUGAGCAAGCAAGUUGGAUGCACGCCCACUUAGUUUCUUUUGUUUGAGCUUUCAUACACUUAUAGCUCUAGUGCAUCCGUUGCAUGGCAAUCCCUACUCCUUGCAUUAACAUCAAUUGAUGGGCAUCUCCAUAGCCCGUUGAUUAGCCCCGUUGAUGUGAGACUUUCUCCUUUUUUGUCUUCCCACAUAACCCCUACCAUUACACCUUAUUCCACCAUAGUGCUAUAUCCAUGGCUUGCGCUCAUGUAUUGCGUAAGAGUUGAAAAGGCUGAAGCGCGUUAAAAAGUAUGAACCAAUUGCUUGGCUAAAACCGGGGUUGUACAUGAUAUGAAUAUUUUGUGUGGGGAAGAUGGAGCAUAGCCAGACUAUAUGAUUUUGUAGGGAUAACUUGCUUUGGCUAUGUUAUUUGAUAAGACAUAAUUGCUUGGUUAGCAUGCUUGAAGUAUUAUUGUUUUUAUGUCAACAUUAAACUUUUAUCUUGAAUCAUAUUAAAUCUGAACAUUCGUGCCACAAUAAGAAGAAUUACAUUGAAAUUAUGCUAAGUAGCAUUCCACAUCAAAAAUUCUGUUUUUAUCAUUUACCUACUCGAAGACGAGCAGGAAUUAAGCUUGGGGAUGCUUGAUACGUCUCCAACGUAUCUAUAAUUUUUUAUUGUUCCAUGCUAUAUUAUAUUCUGUUUUGGACAUUAUCGGGCUUUAUUAUACACUUUUAUAUUAUUUUUGGGACUAACCUAUUAACCGGAGGCCCAGCCCAGAAUUUUUGUUUUUUGCCUAUUUCACAGUUUCGCAGAAAAAGAAUAUCAAACGGAGUCCAAACGGAAUGAAACCUUCGAGAACGUGAUUUUCGGAACGAACGUGAUCCAGAGGACUUGGACCCUACGUCAAGACAUCAACCAGGAAGGCACGAGGUAGGGGGCGCGCCUACCCCCCUGGGCGCGCCCUCCACCCUCGUGGGCCCCACGUUGCUCCACCGACGUACUUCUUCCUCCUAUAUAUACCUACGUACCCCCAAACUACCAGAUACGGAGCCAAAAACCUAAUUCCAUCGCCGCAACCUUCUGUACCCGUGAGAUCCCAUCUUGGGGCCAUUUUCGGAGCUCCGCUGGAGGGGGCAUCGAUCACGGAGGGCUUCUACAUCAACACCAUAGCCUCUCCGAUGAUGUGUGAGUAGUUUACCUCAAACCUUCGGGUCCAUAGUUAUUAGAUAGAUGGCUUCUUCUCUCUUUUUGGAUCUCAAUACAAUGUUCUCCCCCUCUCUCGUGGAGAUCUAUUCGAUGUAAUCUUCUUUUGCGGUGUGUUUGUUGAGACCGAUGAAUUGUGGGUUUAUGAUCAAGUUUAUCUAUGAACAAUAUUUGAAUCUUCUCUGGAUUCUUUUAUGUAUGAUUGGUUAUCUUUGCAAGUCUCUUCGAAUUAUCGGUUUGGUUUGGCCUACUAGAUUGAUCUUUCUUGCAAUAGGAGAAGUGCUUAGCUUUGGGUUUAAUCUUGCGGUGUCCUUUCCCAGUGACAGUAGGGGCAGCAAGGCACGUAUUGUAUUGUUGCCAUCGAGGAUAACAAGAUAGGGUUUAUAUCAUAUUGCAUGAGUUUAUCCCUCUACAUCAUGUCAUCUUACUUAAAGCGUUACUCUGUUCUUAUGAACUUAAUACUCUAGAUGCAUGUUGGAUAGCGGUCAAUGUGUGGAGUAAUAGUAGUAGAUGCAGGCAGGAGUCGGUCUACUUGUCUCGGACGUGAUGCCUAUAUACAUGAUCAUACCUAGAUAUUCUCAUAACUAUGCUAAAUUCUGUCAAUUGCUCAACAGUAAUUUGUUCACCCACCGUAAUACUUAUGCUCUCUAGAGAAGCCACUAGUGAAACCUAUGGCCCCCGGGUCUAUCUUCCAUCAUAUUAAUCUUCCAACACUUGGUUAUUUUUAUUGCCUUUUAUUUUACUUUGCAUCUUUAUCAUAAAAAUACCAAGAAUAUUAUCUUAUCAUAUCUAUCAGAUCUCACUCUCAUAAGUGACCGUGAAGGGAUUGACAACCCUUUUAUUGCGUUGGUUGUGAGGAUUUAUUUGUUUAUGUAGGUGCGAGGGACUCGUGCGUGGCCUCCUACUGGAUUGAUACCUUGGUUCUCAAAAACUGAGGGAAAUACUUACGCUGCUUUACUGCAUCACCCUUUCCUCUUCAAGGGAAAACCAACGCAGUGCUCAAGAGGUAGCACUGGUGGGGAAGAUCCUUCACGCAGAAACCAGAAGGAGUGAGUUCAACAGUAACAUUAUUAUCAGUGGAAAGCUUGCGAACCGAGAUGAGAUCAGAGACUAUGUUAGGGCAAACGGCGACAUCAUGUAAGGCAAGAUUUGUGGGGGGAGGGUUGUGGAUCCAGUGCCGAUAAUAGGUAAGCGAGCCCCAUUGCCAACAGUCACGCUAGAUGAAAAAUGCUCGGGAAAAGGACGAAACGAGGUGAGAUUACCAAAGUUGCCGGUGAUUUGAGUGGAGGCACCGGGGUCGAGGAUCCAGUCAGCUCCCGGGGCGGUGAGGCCGUGCUGGCUGUAGGCGUUGGAGAAGAGGGCGGCCUGAUCCCAAGCAGGAGCACCGAGCGGGUAGGGCUGAGGCAGUGGCGGCGGCUGGUGCUAGGAAGACACGCCUGUGUGCAUCACUGGGUAGGCCUGGUUGUGGACGCCGGGGCGAGGGCCGAGCACGCCAGCCGCAUUGGGGGGAACCCAGCCAGCGCGGGGAGCGGGCAGGGCCAUCCCGUACGGGGCGAAGUACCCCGUCCAUGCCGCGGGCUAUUGCUGCUGAAGAUGCCCGCGACCACCGUUGUCGGGGCGGCCACGCCCUCGACCGCCAGAGCGGCCGCGACCCCGGCCGCGGUCAGAACCGCCAGUGGCAGGGCCUCGAGCCCCGCCGGUGCCGCCGGAUCCGCCGGAGCCGCCAUGCCCCGAGGGAGGCGCCCGAUCGCCGCGGUCACCGCGGUCGUUGGAGGAGCCAAAGCCUGUGGUGAUGGUGAGGGCCGCCGAGCCUGCCUCAGCCGCACGCAGAUUGAUGUUGUACUCCGCGAGAUCGACCCGAGAGCGAGCGAUGUCAAACAGGGGAAGGGGAACCGUUUCGCCCAAGAUAGUGCGGAUGGUGUCGAAGCGGCUGUCGAGGCCAUGAAGGAACUGCAUGGUGAGAUCUGGCCCAUAGACCGGGUUGUCGGUGUCGGCGAGGCCAUCGGCAAGGCUCUUGAGACGACGGGCGUAAUCAGAGACGGUGAGAUCCCCUUGUUUAAGGUUGCGGUACUGGCGGGUGAGGUGGAGGCAGAGGGCGCCUUGGUUCGCGAGGAAAUAGUCGCGGAUGCGCUUCCACGCCAUGUAGGCGUUGGUGGCGCCGCCCAUGAUGAGCUCGAGAAGGGAGUCGGCCAGAGUGAAAUAGAUCCAGAGAAUGAGGCGGUUAUCGACGGCGAGCCAUGAUGCGUCAGGAUUGGGAUGUGGUGGCUGGAGGACAUGGUCCUGGACGCGGUACUGCAUCAGAACACAGGAGAAGAAGGUACGCCACUUGACGUAGUUGUGCUCGGCAGGAUCGAGUUUGAAACGGAUGUGGUUGGAGAUGUGAUCGUUGUGGAAUUGAUGAAGGAGAGGAUCCGCCGGUGUGGUAGCCGCGAGAGGGACGACGGGCAUGGGAGCGGAAGGGGCGGCAGUGGUGGAAGGGAGGAGAGGAGGAGAGGUCCCGGGAGUCGAGGACGGAGGAGGGGACGAGCCGGCGGCGACGUCAGCGGAGGGGAGGUCGCCGAAGAUGUCCUCGAAGCCCAUGGCGAUUGAUGCCAAGCUAGAGGGAGAGGGGGUCGCAGUGUACUGUUGUAUUGAGUGAGUUACGGAGGAGGUACACAUAUAGGGCGAUCCCCAACUGCUCCCGUCAGAAUAGGCACGCAGGCCAUGACUGGGUGCGAUCGCAUAAGAUCCUACAAUCUAGAGUUACAAUACAACAGAAGUACAUACAAUAUGAAUACAUGUACAGCUCGUUAACAGAGACAGGGAGAUCCCCUUUCACCUUUCCUUUUUAACAUAACUGCCAACUGCUUGCAGCAAAUGAUUCAGUUAGCCCAGACAAGUGGUCAGAUUGUGGGCCUGAUACUCCACCUGAUUGAUAAGGGAGUUGUCAUUUUGCAAUAUGUUGAUGAUACUAUCUUGUUCAUAUAGGGUGAUCUGGACAGUGCUAGGAACCUCAAAUUGUUGUUGUGUUUCAUUGAACGGAUGUCGGGUUUGAAAAUCAGUUUUCAAAAAAGUGGGGUCCUGAUGGUGCUACAGGAUGAUGAUAAAAGGCGAGUUAUGAUGCCCAAUUUCAGUUCAAAUUAGGUGCCUGGCCUAUCAAAUAUUUACAUGUUGUUGGCUGGAUUCAUGCUGAAAAGAAUAUUGUGGAGAGCUGGAAACCUGUCCCUUGGUGGCAAGGUGACUAAAAUCAAAGCUUGUUUAACCAGUAUUCCAAUUUACCAUUUCUUCAUGUAAAGGCAUGUUAUUUGUCCACCCUUUCUAAUAGAAGGGUUUUUUGGCAAGAGAAAAGCAAUAAGAGCAAAUGUCACUGGGUGAGAAGGCAUGUUAUUUGUAGGCAAAAGAAGAAAGGAGGGCUGGGUAUCCACAAUUUAGAGAAAUUCAAUGUCAGUCUCAUGUGUAAAUGGUGGUGGAAUCUGGAGAAUAAAGAAGUUAUGUGGCAGAAUGUAGUUAAAAAGAAAUAUGAGUUACAAUUGCUAAUGAUUCUCCAUGCUGGGUUGAUUUGAUGAAACUAAAACACAUCUAUAUAAAAGGUAGAAUUAUGACACCACUUCAUCCAUCCGGCUUUGAUUCGAUGGUUCACAUCUUCAUCAAUACCCCCAUCCUCCUGCAGCAUUGACCCCAAAUACCGAAAGGUGUCCUUCUAAGGUACCACCUGGCCAUCAAGGCUAACCUCCUCCUCCUCACACCUAGUAGUACUGAAACCGCACAUCAUGUACUCGGUUUUAGUCCUACUAAGCCUAAACCCUUUCGAUUCCAAGGUUUGUCUCCAUAACUAUGGAGAUAUUCAAAGAAUUACAACUUGAGGUAUGGGAUCUGACAGAGUUAGCCGAUGGUCACCAUUCUAUCAUCCCAAGCACCGUUCACAGCGAUAAAACAAUACUCCACUUAGACGUAAAGCAAUCUGAUCAAAAUUUAGAAGAGCACACAAAUCAGAACAUUUGACAACUGCCAAAGGAGAUAAACAUGUUCGACCUUCCUUACGAUAACUUCAAAAUCUGGAACAAAAUCUGGAACAGGAUUAGUUCAGGGUUCAAAGGGUGCUGCUCCACCACUAGACUGACAGUCGGUAUAUCAGGCGCUACAUUUGACAACGAUAAGAACACUGGAUUCCAGACACCAAAGACAAUUUUCCUGACCAUAUGCUCACUUGAGAGGAAUGAACCUCGACGAGUGGGUGGCACCGAUACCGG
rnacentral:lncRNA from 1 species